rnacentral:rRNA from 1 species
GACGAACGCUGGCGGCGUGCUUAACACAUGCAAGUCGACCGGAAAGGCCCUGCUUUUGUGGGGUGCUCGAGUGGCGAACGGGUGAGUAACACGUGAGUAACCUGCCCUUGACUUUGGGAUAACUUCAGGAAACUGGGGCUAAUACCGGAUAGGAGCUCCUGCUGCUUGGUGGGGGUUGGAAAGUUUCGGCGGUUGGGGAUGGACUCGCGGCUUAUCAGCUUGUUGGUGGGGUAGUGGCUUACCAAGGCUUUGACGGGUAGCCGGCCUGAGUGGGUGACCGGCCACAUUGGGACUGAGAUACGGCCCAGACUCCUACGGGAGGCAGCAGUGGGGAAUAUUGCACAAGGGGCGGAAGCCUGAUGCAGCAACGCCGCGUGCGGGAUGACGGCCUUCGGGUUGUAAACCGCUUUCGCCUGUGACGAAGCGUGAGUGACGGUAAUGGGUAAAGAAGCACCGGCUAACUACGUG